rnacentral:lncRNA from 1 species
GACCGGGCCUGGGAGGAUUCUUCUCUUCUUCUUCUUUUUUUUUGUGCUCGUUACUAGGCCAAGGAUUGGGCCGAGGCCCAUCUGGCCCAACCGACCGGCGUACCGGUUGGAUUUUAAGUGGGUGGAUCAGACGGUCUGGGGCGCCCCGUAAACCUAGAUCCGACGGUGCUGGUUCAUCUCCUACCUUCGUACGAGGGGGAAGAAAGGGUCUUGUCCUCCUUUCCUCUUAUGUGGCGGCUCCGUCACCGGGAUGACGCCGGCGGCCGUGCAGUGCGGCCAGAACGGCUAGGGAACGGGUCCCUCGGCCUGGGCCGCCUCCUUUUUCCCUUUUCCUCCUCUCUUUUCUCUUUUGCCCUGCGCCCUUUGUCCCUU